rnacentral:rRNA from 4 species
CAAACGACUCUCGGCAACGGAUAUCUCGGCUCACGCAUCGAUGAAGAACGUAGCAAAAUGCGAUACUUGGUGUGAAUUGCAGAAUCCCGUGAACCAUCGAGUUUUUGAACGCAAGUUGCGCCCGAAGCCUUUUGGUCGAGGGC